AGGGCACCACCAGGAGUGGAGCCUGCGGCCUAAUUUGACUCAACACGGGAAAUCUCACCAGGCCCGGACACCGGAAGGAUUGACAGAUUGAGAGCUCUUUCUUGAUUCGGUGGGUGGUGGUGCAUGGCCGUUCUUAGUUGGUGGAGCGAUUUGUCUGGUUAAUUCCGAUAACGAACGAGACUCUGGCCUACUAACUAGACGUUAGAUCCCUUUGUGGGUCUAUCGCAGCUUCUUAGAGGGACGGGCGGCGUUUAGCCGCACGAGAUUGAGCAAUAACAGGUCUGUGAUGCCCUUAGAUGUUCUGGGCUGCACGCGCGCUACACUGAAGGAAUCAGCGUGUGUUCCCUGUCCGAAAGGACUGGGAAACCCGUUGAACCUCCUUCGUGAUGGGGAUUGGGGAUUGCAAUUAUUCCCCAUGAACGAGGAAUUCCCAGUAGGCGCGAGUCAUAAGCUUGCGUCGAUUACGUCCCUGCCCUUUGUACACACCGCCCGUCGCUACUACCGAUCGAGUGAUUUAGU
rnacentral:rRNA from 1 species